rnacentral:miRNA from 1 species
UUUGUAUUAUGUGCGGAAAUUGUUACCAUUUUCGGCUCAAAAAUUAAUGGUAACAAUUUCCGCUCGUAAUACAAA